CGAAAGCGUGGGGAGCGAACAGGAUUAGAUACCCUGGUAGUCCACGCCGUAAACGAUGAGUGCUAAGUGUUAGGGGGUUUCCGCCCCUUAGUGCUGCAGCUAACGCAUUAAGCACUCCGCCUGGGGAGUACGGUCGCAAGACUGAAACUCAAAGGAAUUGACGGGGGCCCGCACAAGCGGUGGAGCAUGUGGUUUAAUUCGAAGCAACGCGAAGAACCUUACCAGGUCUUGACAUCCUCUGACAACCCUAGAGAUAGGGCUUUCCCUUCGGGGACAGAGUGACAGGUGGUGCAUGGUUGUCGUCAGCUCGUGUCGUGAGAUGUUGGGUUAAGUCCCGCAACGAGCGCAACCCUUGAUCUUAGUUGCCAGCAUUUAGUUGGGCACUCUAAGGUGACUGCCGGUGACAAACCGGAGGAAGGUGGGGAUGACGUCAAAUCAUCAUGCCCCUUAUGACCUGGGCUACACACGUGCUACAAUGGAC
rnacentral:rRNA from 1 species